AAUGGGUCAGCGACUUAUAUUCUGUAGCAAGGUUAACCGAAUAGGGGAGCCGAAGGGAAACCGAGUCUUAACUGGGCGUUAAGUUGCAGGGUAUAGACCCGAAACCCGGUGAUCUAGCCAUGGGCAGGUUGAAGGUUGGGUAACACUAACUGGAGGACCGAACCGACUAAUGUUGAAAAAUUAGCGGAUGACUUGUGGCUGGGGGUGAAAGGCCAAUCAAACCGGGAGAUAGCUGGUUCUCCCCGAAAGCUAUUUAGGUAGCGCCUCGUGAAUUCAUCUCCGGGGGUAGAGCACUGUUUCGGCAAGGGGGUCAUCCCGACUUACCAACCCGAUGCAAACUGCGAAUACCGGAGAAUGUUAUCACGGGAGACACACGGCGGGUGCUAACGUCCGUCGUGAAGAGGGAAACAACCCAGACCGCCAGCUAAGGUCCCAAAGUCAUGGUUAAGUGGGAAACGAUGUGGGAAGGCCCAGACAGCCAGGAUGUUGGCUUAGAAGCAGCCAUCAUUUAAAGAAAGCGUAAUAGCUCACUGGUCGAGUCGGCCUGCGCGGAAGAUGUAACGGGGCUAAACCAUGCACCGAAGCUGCGGCAGCGACGCUUAUGCGUUGUUGGGUAGGGGAGCGUUCUGUAAGCCUGUGAAGGUGUGCUGUGAGGCAUGCUGGAGGUAUCAGAAGUGCGAAUGCUGACAUAAGUAACGAUAAAGCGGGUGAAAAGCCCGCUCGCCGGAAGACCAAGGGUUCCUGUCCAACGUUAAUCGGGGCAGGGUGAGUCGACCCCUAAGGCGAGGCCGAAAGGCGUAGUCGAUGGGAAACAGGUUAAUAUUCCUGUACUUGGUGUUACUGCGAAGGGGGGACGGAGAAGGCUAUGUUGGCCGGGCGACGGUUGUCCCGGUUUAAGCGUGUAGGCUGGUUUUCCAGGCAAAUCCGGAAAAUCAAGGCUGAGGCGUGAUGACGAGGCACUACGGUGCUGAAGCAACAAAUGCCCUGCUUCCAGGAAAAGCCUCUAAGCAUCAGGUAACAUCAAAUCGUACCCCAAACCGACACAGGUGGUCAGGUAGAGAAUACCAAGGCGCUUGAGAGAACUCGGGUGAAGGAACUAGGCAAAAUGGUGCCGUAACUUCGGGAGAAGGCACGCUGAUAUGUAGGUGAAGUGAUUUACUCAUGGAGCUGAAAUCAGUCGAAGAUACCAGCUGGCUGCAACUGUUUAUUAAAAACACAGCACUGUGCAAACACGAAAGUGGACGUAUACGGUGUGACGCCUGCCCGGUGCCGGAAGGUUAAUUGAUGGGGUCAGCGCAAGCGAAGCUCUUGAUCGAAGCCCCGGUAAACGGCGGCCGUAACUAUAACGGUCCUAAGGUAGCGAAAUUCCUUGUCGGGUAAGUUCCGACCUGCACGAAUGGCGUAAUGAUGGCCAGGCUGUCUCCACCCGAGACUCAGUGAAAUUGAACUCGCUGUGAAGAUGCAGUGUACCCGCGGCAAGACGGAAAGACCCCGUGAACCUUUACUAUAGCUUGACACUGAACAUUGAGCCUUGAUGUGUAGGAUAGGUGGGAGGCUUUGAAGUGUGGACGCCAGUCUGCAUGGAGCCGACCUUGAAAUACCACCCUUUAAUGUUUGAUGUUCUAACGUUGACCCGUAAUCCGGGUUGCGGACAGUGUCUGGUGGGUAGUUUGACUGGGGCGGUCUCCUCCUAAAGAGUAACGGAGGAGCACGAAGGUUGGCUAAUCCUGGUCGGACAUCAGGAGGUUAGUGCAAUGGCAUAAGCCAGCUUGACUGCGAGCGUGACGGCGCGAGCAGGUGCGAAAGCAGGUCAUAGUGAUCCGGUGGUUCUGAAUGGAAGGGCCAUCGCUCAACGGAUAAAAGGUACUCCGGGGAUAACAGGCUGAUACCGCCCAAGAGUUCAUAUCGACGGCGGUGUUUGGCACCUCGAUGUCGGCUCAUCACAUCCUGGGGCUGAAGUAGGUCCCAAGGGUAUGGCUGUUCGCCAUUUAAAGUGGUACGCGAGCUGGGUUUAGAACGUCGUGAGACAGUUCGGUCCCUAUCUGCCGUGGGCGCUGGAGAACUGAGGGGGGCUGCUCCUAGUACGAGAGGACCGGAGUGGACGCAUCACUGGUGUUCGGGUUGUCAUGCCAAUGGCACUGCCCGGUAGCUAAAUGCGGAAGAGAUAAGUGCUGAAAGCAUCUAAGCACGAAACUUGCC
rnacentral:rRNA from 1 species